rnacentral:siRNA from 1 species
ACUCUGGUCAAUGGCCUUUGU